UAUACUGAAUCGCUUAAUUCUUUUGGAAGCGGAGGAACCAUUUUUCUGGGGUGAAUCUUUCACGGGUAAUUUUCUUGUGAAAGUAGGGUUACUUUCGACCCGAAUCCGUCAGCUAACUUCGUAAGCGUUAGAAGGAAAGAAA
rnacentral:sRNA from 2 species